rnacentral:rRNA from 1 species
UACGUAGGGUGCGAGCGUUGUCCGGAAUUACUGGGCGUAAAGGGCUUGUAGGUGGUUUGUCGCGUUGUUUCGUGAAAUGCCACAACUCAAUUGUGGGCGUGCGGGCGAUACGGGCAGACUGGAGUACUGCAGGGGGAGACUGGAAUUCCUGGUGUAGCGGUGGAAUGCGCAGAUAUCAGGAGGAACACCGGUGGCGAAGGCGGGUCUCUGGGCA